UACGUAGGGUGCGAGCGUUAAUCGGAAUUACUGGGCGUGAAGCGUGCGCAGGCGGUGAUGUAAGACCGAUGUGAAAUCCCCGGGCUUAACCUGGGAAUUGCGCUUGAAACUAGCGGGCUUGAGUGCGGCAGAGGGGGGUGGAAUUCCACGUGUAGCAGUGAAAUGCGUAGAGAUGUGGAGGAACACCGAUGGCGAAGGCAGCCCCCUGGGUCGACACUGACGCUCAUGCACGAAAGCGUGGGGAGCAAACAGG
rnacentral:rRNA from 1 species